rnacentral:autocatalytically_spliced_intron from 2 species
ACAUAUUCUUUAUUUAUUCUCGGAGAUUUAUCCAGUCAGGCUUCCCAAAAUGAAGCUGCGAAUGGAUAAGGUUCGACGGAUCCUCAACGACUAUACGCCAAAGUCCCAACGAAAUGUUGGGACCAUGAUAUAGUCUGAACUUGGCAGCGAUGUCAAG